ACGGGAGGCAGCAGUAGGGAAUAUUGCACAAUGGGGGAAACCCUGAUGCAGCAACGCCACGUGUGGGAAGAAGCAUUUCGGUGUGUAAACCACUGUCGUGAGGGAAUAAGGCAUUGUUUCGGCGAUGUUGAAUGUACCUCGAAAGGAAGCACCGGCAAACUUCGUGCCAGCAGCCGCGGUAAUACGAGGGGUGCAAGCGUUGUUCGGAAUCACUGGGCGUAAAGGGAGCGCAGGCGGAGAUGCAAGCGGACUGUACAAUACCGGGGCCCAACCCCGGACCUGCAGACCGGACUGCUCCUCUUGGAUAGCUCAGGGGCUGGCGGAAUUCCUGGUGUAGCGGUGGAAUGCGUAGAGAUCAGGAAGAACACCGAUGGCGAAGGCAGCCAGCUGGGGGCUUAUCGACGCUCAUGCUCGAAAGUGCGGGUAGCAAACAGGAUUAGAUACCCUGGUA
rnacentral:rRNA from 1 species